GUAAAUAUCAAAUCACAUCGUUGGAGAAGAAUUGGAAACCUCGGCUACAUGUUGAACCUGAUCUUGGGAUACCGCUGGACCUUCUUGACCUGAGUGUAUACAAUCCUCCCAAGGGUGAAAGGAUACCCCUCGAUCCUGAGGAUGAGGAGUUGUUGCGUGAUGAUGAUCCUAUAACCCCAAUUAAGACUGAUGGCAUUAAAAAGAAAGAAAGGCCUACGGACAAAGGUGUCUCUUGGCUUGUUAAAACCCAGUACAUAUCGCCUCUCAGUGUUGAGUCCACUAAGCAGUCUUUGACUGAAAAACAAGCAAAAGAAUUGCGAGAAUCUCGUGGUCGGAGCCUCUUGGAGAACCUCAACAGUAGGGAUAGGAAAAUUCAGGAUAUUGUUGCGUCUUUUGAAGCGUGCAAGACCAAGCCUGUUCAUGCAGUUAAUCGUCAUCUACAUCCGAGAAGGAUCCUCCCGC